GAUCUGCUGCAGGGCGUUCCUUUGUGGCAAGGUGCAGCUACACUUAGGCCAGCCAUGCAUACAUGUAGUGGAUUAGAUUUCGUAGAUGUUUGAUUCAUGCAUGGUGUCUGUGAUCGCAGCAUGAACCUUCACCCCCACCUUAGCUCUUAAUCAGAGGCUGGUUAUAAGGAGCAGCUGUGGCCUACUCCUGAUCCCUGGCGGCUUGCACUCAUUCCUGUUGAAGAUGCGGACAGCUCUCUCUACCUGCUGUUGGAUUAGUGUCAUCGCUGUAGCCCUUGUGAUGCUCUUAUCUGCACCUGAAGCUGGUUCUGCAUCAGUAGGCCUACGCUGCUGUCAUAAGAGCGCCAUAUUGAAGAAGCCCGAGGGGAUCCAGGAGUGCUUUGAACAGAUAAAACGACACAGCUGCCAUCACCAUGCCUUUGUGAUUGUGACUGAAAGAAAGAGCCUUUGUGUCAGCCCAAAUACCAAAUGGCUCAAGAAGCUUACUGAGACGGGAGAACUACAGUGUCCUAAAAGCAUCUCCUACAAACACAGAUAUGAAUUCCUGGAUGAAGAUGAAUAGCAAACUGAGACCAUAGAGAAGCAUCAAUAAAAUAAAAAAUGCUGAUUUUCUUCUCACAGCUUCCACAGGCUCAUGUCAAAAGUUGUUACUGAGAAUAAAUGAUCAAUUUAAAAAGGUGACUCUCUUUUUC